GUAUAUGCAUAAAAGGUUUGUUGGUGUUUGCUUCCAUACACGUGCACUCAACGGUACUAUCAAGUUUUGUAUUUAAAAAAAAGCUCGGCAGUACCAAGUUGCCUUAUAUUUUGACGUUACAUUGUUUUGUCUCAUAGUUUCCACAGUACGUAAUUGGUGUCAUGGGUCCCACCAGUAUUACUCUUCACUUUACCCUUUCUGCAGUCUUCUGGACUUCUCCGUUCUUCUUUCCUCACACAAGUUGCUCUCUUGAUUCACUGCAUUCAGGAUGCUCGUCCUAACCUGAAGCCACCCCCGCACCUGGUGCUUUGACGGGGUGACCAUCGACGGCGAUUGAGGGUUAGCAGGGCCCAAGGAUCUACUACACCAGAGUGUAGGCAAGAUCAUCGAUCUGGACGCUGCCGUUGAUGCUGUCGUCCGUGUCGUUGAUUUGGUCUUGGAUUUCAUCUCCCGCAGGCCUGCAAAGGCAACAUUGUUCCAAAUUGAGCUGCAGGUGAUAUCAUAUUUGUGACAUGAAGAGUAAGAGAGCCACAUGUCAAUCUUAAGGAGGUGUUUUUUGGGAAUGUUUAUAUGUUCCAAUCAUGCCAUGUAUCUUCAUCUCCUGUUGGGUAUGCCUCCUUCGAUUUUCUUCAAUUCUUAAAAAUAAAUCAGUGUUUAUUUCUUUAUGGGCGUUGUUAGUGUUGAAUGAGGUAGAUGCUAAAGAAGACACAAGCGAGUGUAACUAAAAAUAAUUUAAGUAUAUGUCUGAGUACACAUGAUAACUUCAAUCCGUACUCUCGUGGAGCACAAAAUAAACAUAAAUGUUUAUCAAUGCCAAUUACUACUAAGUAUAGAGUGUGUAUAGUAUAUUCUUCAAUUCUUGCAGCUAUUGGACGUAUGUAAGCACUUGCUGCUGUAUAAUGCCUAGCCCAUGUAUCUCGCUGGUUCUCUCCUAAUCCUCUUAGGUCUAUCAUACAAGGUUGGCUGCAUGUCUUCAGAUGAUAUUUUCCUCCUCUUUAUGCAAUCGGUCCUUUCCUUCUUUGUUCUGCUUCUAGUUUUGGCGUUCCAUUCUUCAUUACGGUCAUCUGUGCUGGUACAGUUGUUGUCGGCGUGACUAUUGUUGUCUCGCUGCAUAAAUGCAAGAACAAUGUUAUUAUUGAAACAUUCAUAAAUUUCCAUAAAUGCAUGGUAGAUAUUAAGCUUGUAUAUCAUCGCCAUAUUUAACAAUGUAUUAUGGAGUACAUAUAUAAGAUCAAAUGCAUACAAAAUUAGACCACAGUGGGAAAUGACCGAUACACUGUCAUGGAUUAUUAUUUUUAGUAUAUAUAGAUGAGCGUAAGUAAUUUGAAACCUCAUUAUCGAAUAGAUUGCUCUCUGUAAGAACUUUUUUUUAUUUCGCAAAGCCUUUCUUUUCAAAUCCUGUUUACAUCUCUUAUGUUUGGCCUCUCCUUUUAUCUUCGGCGAAACAGUUUUUGGCUCUUCCUGUGUGUUUUGUGAUGUCAUAAAUAAAUAGGCUGUAAACAAUUAUCAAUGCAUAUACAGGAAGAUAAUUUUUUUUCCAUUUGUUACCUCGUCAUCAGGAGCAUCGAUUUUAACAAUUGGUUUUCUGCUAUUUCUGGAAGCAAACAUUGUCACAUCUUUUUCAUAUAUUUUGCUAGACUUCUGUCUCUUUGUCCUCCUUUGUUGCUUUUUGUUAGAUGAUUUAGAGGUUUCCUUUCAGCACAUAUCCUCCUUCUCAUCAUUUCUUGCAUUCUUGGAGGAGUGGUUGACCUAUAAAAAUAUUUUUUUAAUACUUUAAAACAAAAAUUGCACACUCGUGACAGCAAAACCAUUAAUUAGUGGCAAUACCUUGUUAUCGGACUUCUGCAUAGCAAAAUUUGAAGAACCUUGUGUGUCUUGCCUUUCCAGUAUACCCUAUAAAGAAUGUACUCGCAUAAUAAUUUUAUAAACCAUUUAAAAUACUGAAAUGUGCAUGUGCAUACCUCUUCAACUAUUUCAUUUGAAUAUUCCAUCUCAAGUCUGUCAUCAACUUCAAAAGUGAAGCUCACUUUAAAAUUUUCCAUACACUCUUAUAGAUUCCUUGAAUUUAACUUAAGUCGGAAUAUGAGUGUUCUGCCAUAAAGGUCUUAAAUAAUAUCUGGUACUAUGUUGUUGAAUCCCUCCUGCUCUAAUAGGGUUGAUGCAGAUAUGUUGCCCAAAAGACUCUUUGCUACCUCAUUAAACAUAACGAAAGUUGUUGUUGUCGUGUCCUCGGGUACCUUCAAGUUUAAUUAGGUACCUAAUAUGAUAGUGUCAGUUAUUACUGGUCUAUUAUUAAAAGAAAUGGCACCAAAGACAAUCUAGUGCAUUAACAUGCUCACCUUAUGUUGGGAUUUUCAGAUACUUAAUGACAGGAAGUGCACAUAUAGUUAUGGUGUUUCUGUUAUAAUAUCAUCAAUUGUUGCUUUUGUUCUGCAUACAAAUUCCUAUUAAAGAUUAAACAUAUGAGUUUACAUAAUAAUGUAAAAUAGAGAAGGUAUAAGAUUUUUAUGAUCAAGGUUAGAGGGAAACCUUUCUUUUAACAUCAACAUAUCAUAGUUCUAUAAUUUCCCUCAAUGUUUUUUUUAUUGUAGAACAUUUGCUCUUCGAUCAUUCCUUGGGUGCUUUCGUCAAUUCCAACCAUUGUUGGAAUAACAUCGCUUUCAAAAUGCCUAUAAUACAUUACAAUAUGAGCACAUAAACUUGUAACUUCAAAAACAUACAUAAUAGCAUUAUUAUAUACAUACCUCUCAAUAAUUUGGUCUGUCUCUAGAAUUUCAGGGUCCAGGAAGACUUUAGAUGCAUUUGUCGUGCGUAGUGAUAGCCCUGGUAAUAAAUUGUCAGUAAUUUGGAUUCAGGUUUACACAUAGAGAUUAUAGUUCUCACCAUUGAAUUUUCUGUCCAAAUUUGAAGUGACAAUCACUAUUGUUUAUUUGUUUAAAAGCUUUUCAUUCACCAUAUUUGCAAAUAUCCCCCCAUAGCGUGAUUCUGAUUAUCUCACCACUUCAUGCAUUUAACCAUGAAAAAGUGAUAUAUAAAGAUCAUAUAUGCAAUUCAAAAAUAUCUAUAGAAUAUAAUCACUUACUCUGGUGAAAGGACUUCAAUCUCACGGACGUUUGAAGUUUGCGUCAUGCCCGUCCCUUUAUUUAUUUUUGCACUUGCUAUAUUGGCUUCAUUGUAGUAAGCAAUCGAAUGACAUCUGCACAUAAUCAUACUUAAAAAUCUAGUUCACCGGUGCUUGUUCUUCGAUAUGGAUUUUAAUUGUACCUGAGCACUAUUUAUCAAUAAUCACCCUACUAUCCAAGGUAUCACCAUAAGCAAAUUCAAAGUGGUAGUCCGAAAACUUGGAUUUUCCUUCAUCCACUUCCUUCAUCGUUGUAUCAUAGACAAAACUUAUCUUGAGAUUUUUCUUCAAUGGUCGGUAUUUUUCAUACUCCCAAACUUUGAAGGUCUUAAUUUUGUACCUAUUUAAUUUUUGAUUUAAAUUUAUCAACCAGUUUGCUCCAAAUAGAAGCAUGGAUUACAUCACCUUACAUAGAGAGAAAACAUCAGCAAACUUUGGAAAGGGUAAAUUGAAGAAACUUUGGAAAGGGUAAAUUGUAGAAGUUGUAACCUAAAAUCUCGAGGACAACGAACCUAUGAGGUCGUGGGGAAGGUCUUAUAUGGAUGGUUAAGUUUCUCAUGUUUGCACGAUGGAAAAAAAUUGGAUUCUGUGGACACAUAUUCUGUUUGGAGAGAUAUGAUAGUUUCGAUUUCGUUAGGCACAUUAGACCUUUUUUUUGGGAUGGCCUCAUCGCUGAUGGCAUGGUCCAUCCUGUAUGCGUGGAUGGCCCAAUUUGUAUGUUUUUUUCUUCUUAAUGAUGCGUGAUGCAUGUGUGUUUCUGAUCCCUCACGGGAUGGUCCGACCAUUGGGUUUGUGGUUGGGAUCGUGAAAAUCAAACGUGAAGCCGUCAUUGGACGCUAUGGACCCAGAUCAUUUACGAAGAUCGAAUGGUUGGACUUAUCUUUAUUCUGACCCACCUGGUUUACAAAUAUCUAAUGGUUGGAUUUUGUUGUCUCAUGACAUGGACCACGGCAUGGACCCACCUGGUUUACGAAGAUCUAAUGGUUAGACUUUGUUGUCUCACAGAAUUAAAGGCUGGAUCUUUCUAAUUAUUGUGUUUCUUGAUGGACGCUGGAGCACCGGCCGAAGUGAUGUCUAUGGCUCUGGCCAAAAUUGU